rnacentral:rRNA from 1 species
ACACUCCUACGGGAGGCAGCAGUGGGGAAUAUUGGACAAUGGGCGCAAGCCUGAUCCAGCCAUGCCGCGUGAGUGAUGAAGGCCCUAGGGUUGUAAAGCUCUUUCACCGGUGAAGAUAAUGACGGUAACCGGAGAAGAAGCCCCGGCUAACUUCGUGCCAGCAGCCGCGGUAAUACGAAGGGGGCUAGCGUUGUUCGGAUUUACUGGGCGUAAAGCGCACGUAGGCGGACUAUUAAGUCAGGGGUGAAAUCCCGGGGCUCAACCCCGGAACUGCCUUUGAUACUGGUAGUCUUGAGUUCGAGAGAGGUGAGUGGAAUUCCGAGUGUAGAGGGGAAAUUCGUAGAUAUUCGGAGGAACACCAGUGGCGAAGGCGGCUCACUGGCUCGAUACUGACGCUGAGGUGCGAAAGCGUGGGGAGCAAACAGGAUUAGAAACCCGGGUAGUCCC